rnacentral:rRNA from 1 species
GACGAACGCUGGCGGCGUGCUUAACACAUGCAAGUCGAACGGAAAGGCCCUGCUUUUGUGGGGUGCUCGAGUGGCGAACGGGUGAGUAACACGUGAGUAACCUGCCCUUGACUUUGGGAUAACUUCAGGAAACUGGGGCUAAUACCGGAUAGGAGCUCCUGCUGCAUGGUGGGGGUUGGAAGGUUUCGGCGGUUGGGGAUGGACUCGCGGCUUAUCAGCUUGUUGGUGGGGUAGUGGCUUACCAAGGCUUUGACGGGUAGCCGGCCUGAGAGGGUGACCGGCCACAUGGGGACUGGGAUACGGCCCGGACCCCUCCGGGGGGCAGGAGUGGGGAAUUUGGCAAAAUGGGCGGAGGCCGGAGGCGGCAACGCCGGGGGGGGGAUGACGGCCUUCGGGUUGAAAACCCCUUUCGCCUGGGACGAAGGGGGAGUGACGGUAAUGGGUAAAGAAGCACCGGCAAACUACGU